rnacentral:rRNA from 1 species
UACGUAGGGUGCAAGCGUUUGUCCGGAAUUAUUGGGCGUAAAGAGCUCGUAGGCGGUUUGUCGCGUCUGCUGUGAAAACCCGAGGCUCAACCUCGGGCCUGCAGUGGGUACGGGCAGACUAGAGUGCGGUAGGGGGAGAUUGGAAUUCCUGGUGUAGCGGUGGAAUGCGCAGAUAUCAGGAGGAACACCAAUGGCGAAGGCAAUGUUCUGGCUCGUUUCUGACGCUCAGGUGCGAAAGCCAGGGGAGCGAACGGG